rnacentral:lncRNA from 1 species
AUGUAAAUUAAUCUCUUUCAUCAAACUGUGUAUUCAGAGGAAGUGUACAGGGCAAACGUAGCAUAAUAGUGCAGAACCUAUGGGACAUAACCUACUACCAGCCUCGAAUUAUUGCAAUUAAAAACUUGCUGUAGUUCGCAUGGCUUACUAGAGACCUGAGUCGUCAGUUCCUGAAUCGUCCUGCCAAUUCCUCUCAAUGAGAGAUUGCUACCAUGUCCUUGUAUUUCGAGGGGCCCUCACACGAACAAGUUAAUAAUGCUGUAUUUCCAGCAUAUACUAUAUGUGGAAUUGCCACUGAUUUCACAUACGCAUAUGAACUAUUACUAAGAAACCAUUAAACUGUAUGUAAGCAGCAUCGAAGGUGGCCAAUUUCUACUCUUCAUAGUACCGCACCCUUCACGCUUUCUGAAAUGGAAAAAUAUGCCAAUUUUGAAGAACCUAGAUCUUUGGGAAGUUUUGUGUGAAAUUGGAGUCCUUGUG